rnacentral:rRNA from 5 species
GUGACUGCGUACCUUUUGUAUAAUGGGUCAGCGACUUAUAUUCUGUAGCAAGGUUAACCGUAUAGGGGAGCCGUAGGGAAACCGAGUCUUAACCGGGCGUUAAGUUGCAGGGUAUAGACCCGAAACCCGGUGAUCUAGCCAUGGGCAGGUUGAAGGUUGGGUAACACUAACUGGAGGACCGAACCGACUAAUGUUGAAAAAUUAGCGGAUGACCUGUGGCU